rnacentral:rRNA from 1 species
AACGAACGCUGGCGGCAGGCCUAACACAUGCAAGUCGAACGCUCUAGCAAUAGAGAGUGGCAGACGGGUGAGUAACGCGUGGGAACCUUCCCAAUGGUGCAGAAUAGCCCAGGGAAACUUGGGGUAAUACUGCAUAAGCCCUUCGGGGGAAAGAUUUAUCGCCAUUGGAUGGGCCCGCGUCGGAUUAGCUAGUUGGUAAGGUAAUGGCUCACCAAGGCAACGAUCCGUAGCUGGUUUGAGAGAAUGACCAGCCACACUGGGACUGAGACACGGCCCAGACUCCUACGGGAGGCAGCAGUGGGGAAUCUUGGACAAUGGGCGCAAGCCUGAUCCAGCCAUGCCGCGUGAGUGACGAAGGCCUUAGGGUUGUAAAGCUCUUUUGCCGGGGACGAUAAUGACGGUACCCGGAGAAUAAGUCCCGGCUAACUUCGUGCCAGCAGCCGCCGUAA